rnacentral:rRNA from 1 species
GGCCGGGGCGGGAGCUUACACAUGCAGUCGAACGAUGAAACUCCUUCGGGGGUGGAUUAGUGGCGAACGGGUGAGUAACACGUGGGCAAUCUGCCCUUCACUCUGGGACAAGCCCUGGAAACGGGGUCUAAUACCGGAUAACACCGGCUUCCGCAUGGGAGCUGGUUGAAAGCUCCGGCGGUGAAGGAUGAGCCCGCGGCCUAUCAGCUUGUUGGUGGGGUGAUGGCCUACCAAGGCGACGACGGGUAGCCGGCCUGAGAGGGCGACCGGCCACACUGGGACUGAGACACGGCCCAGACUCCUACGGGAGGCAGCAGUGGGGAAUAUUGCACAAUGGGCGAAAGCCUGAUGCAGCGACGCCGCGUGAGGGAUGACGGCCUUCGGGUUGUAAACCUCUUUCAGCAGGGAAGAAGCGAAAGUGACGGUACCUGCAGAAGAAGCGCCGGCUAACUACGUGCCAGCAGCCGCGGUAAUACGUAGGGCGCAAGCGUUGUCCGGAAUUAUUGGGCGUAAAGAGCUCGUAGGCGGCUUGUCGCGUCGGAUGUGAAAGCCCGGGGCUUAACCCCGGGUCUGCAUUCGAUACGGGCAGGCUAGAGUGUGGUAGGGGAGAUCGGAAUUCCUGGUGUAGCGGUGAAAUGCGCAGAUAUCAGGAGGAACACCGGUGGCGAAGGCGGAUCUCUGGGCCAUUACUGACGCUGAGGAGCGAAAGCGUGGGGGCAGAAAACAGGAUUAGAUACCGUCGUAGUCCUCUCCGUAAACGUUGCGAACUAGAUGUAGGCGACAUUCCACGUCGUCGAUGCGGCACAUAACGCAAUAAUUUCCCCGCCUGAGGAGUUCGCCCCCAUGGCUAAAACUCUAAGGAACAGACGGGGGCCCACACAAGCAGCGGAGCAUGCGGUUUAAUUCGUCGCAAUGCUAAGAACCUUACCAAGGCUCAACAUAUACCGGAAAGCAUUAGAGAUAGUGCCCCCCUUCGGUCGGUAGACAGGCAGGACAUGGUUGUACUCAAGUGAGGUCCAGAGAAAGCGCGCUAUGUCCCGCAUCGUGGGCAACCCCUCUCGAGAGUUGCCAGCAGACCAGUCGGGCCGAUUGGGAGUCACAGGAGACCGUCGGCGUCAAAUCGUAGUAAUGUUGGGAGGAGUUCAAAUCAUCCUGCCCGAUAUGUUCUGCGCCGCCCACGUGAUCCAAGGGCAGGUACACAGAGCUGCGAUCCCGGGAGGCGGAGUGAAUUUCAAACAGCCUGUCUCCGUCCGGACGGGCGUCAUCAACUCGCCCCCCAUAAUUGGGAGCCAGUAGUAAUCGCAGAUCAGCAAGGAUGCGGUGAAUACGUUCCCGGGCGUCGUACUCACCCCCCGUCUCGUCAAGAAAGUCGGUAACAUCAUAAUCCGGUGCCCCAACCCUGAGGGAGGGAGCUGUGGAAUGGUGGACCACCGCCUGGGACGAAGUGAGACGCAACGAGCUCACCCCC